CAGGUUCAGAAAAGGAGUGGCUCUCAACCAGGGGCAGUUGUCCCCUCCGGGGAACACUUGCUAAUGUCUGGACACAGUUUUGGUUGUCACGACUAGGCUGGUGAUGCUGGAGCCACAACAACCACCGGAAACCCCAAGGCGAAGACCAGAGAAUCCCAGAGAUGCAGACAGAGACUUCCUAGAGCUACAGAGUAAGCCAAAUUGGAGUUGCCUUUUCUGGACGUCUUGUUAAGUCUGAUGGGGUUCAUCACAUCUGAGCCAGGACUGGCUUUUCUUGGCUGCAAGCUGAAAGUUGGGUCCAGGUCUGCUGUACUGAGGGUCUCCUAUCUUCCUUGGACAGGGACAACCAGAGGCCUAUUUAUCUCAUGAUGGAAGGCAGGAGAACAAGCAGGCAAGACCAGCUGUGCUAGCACAUGCCACCUCUUUGCCCACGUCACACCUGCUGACGUCCCAUUGGCCAAUGCAAGUCACACAACCAAAGCCAACAUCAACAGGACAAGGAAACAGACUCUGCCUCUAGAUGCACAAACUACAGAGUCACGGACAGAGGACACGGAUCCAGGGAAGGAAGAUGGAGAAUGAGAACAAUGACCCUCAAUAACACAGCCUCCCACAGCUCCCGGCUCACCCACCCAGCAGCUCAGCACCUGCGAAAUCCGUCUCCCGAUGCACACUUGCUAACCGCGUGGGUGUGAGCACAACGAUGGGAAACAGCGGAAGUCCCCGGAGUGCAGACUCAGGAGUGAACCUGCCUGAAGAGUGGCGUCUAACGCACACACUGUGGUCAGCUCCACCCCACUAUGGGUCCCGGGAAUAGGAGCAAGUAUGUAUUUUGCUUGCAGGGCAGGUGUUUCAUCCACAUUAUUGCAGGAACAGAUGAAUUUAAUUAAAAGAACACCACAGUGGGCACCUCUUCCAGGGAUGCCUCCCUCUAAGAACAUGACACUGAGAUGAUCAAGGUUCUAAAAGGGCGAUCAAAUCACUCUCCGAAAAUGAAACUGCUCAGACAGAAUGACAAUUAAAUUAAUAACAACCAAGACAAUGCCCAGAUUUCAUCUCCGCUCACAGCCCCUCCUGUGUGCUGUAUGAUCAGGUUCUUGGGGGUGGCUCCAGAUACAGCAAACAGUCAGGAUUAAUCCACAAGAGUGAGCUGUCAGCAUGAGGUUCCCCUACAGUGGAGCUUGCCAAGGUCCGUGGCUCCCAGGGCACCCGUUCCAGGGCUAACAGAUGAAGCAUGGAAAUGCUGUGUGGAGUGAGCUGAGCAGCCAUUCUCAGGAGAAAACAGACAAAUCCUCCUGCACCCUGGCAAACCAGCUUUGUGGCCUGUUUUAUGUCAUCUUUGCUGAGCUCCACCGGGUCACCCCUCCUGCUGGCUUUGUGAUAUUGACAUUUCAGGCACUGGCACAGAUACAUUGGCCUUCCUGGCUGGGAUUUCACGGACGGAGUGAGCAGUGCUGGCUUGGAGGAGCCGUGGCGGCACAGGGCCUGUGCCCUCAGCUGAUCAGUGCCUGUCCUGACCCCAAAGGGCCCUCGCAGCACUGUUUGAAAUUGCUCUUGCCAUGUUUGGAACCGAUUCCUCGGUACGUUUCAGACUCAUUGUUGUGACUUUGGUUUCAAUCCAGGGACACACCGUGGCCAAUGGAGUGUCUCAACAGCAUCUAUGAUCGCUGUUUCCCAGAGACAGCAUCUCAGAUACCGAUGCUGAAAGAGAAACAGCAGCCUGUCCCCAGGUGGCAGGAAAUAGUCCAUUUUAACGGCAAUUUCAUAAGUGGCAGAUGAUUUUUAUUGUAAUUUUCUGGUGAGCUGAUUAAGUGGAGGCAGAGUCAGUUCUGAGGCGUCAAUGUCUUUAACAACUCGGGGAGACCGAGGCCAUGCUCAGCAGGAACACUAAGUCCAUGGAAAACAGGCCCUGGGCCCGCUGAUGUGCAUAAUUCCACGUUUGCCCCCCAUGUAACCAGGAUGGUAAAUUACAGGUGUCAGAUAAUCACGCUCUGGAGUGGCUACUUGAGGAUGCGAUCGACCAAUUUAAGCUCCGUCUGACACAUGAUCAAUAGCCCGUGAUGCUGCAUGGAAUUGCAGGCACAGCGUCCAAACCUGCAGAGCAGUGGCUCCCAGCUGUGGCAACUUUGCCCCCCAGAGGACAUUUGGCAAUGUCUGGAUAUGUUUGCAAUUGUCACAACUAGGAGAGGGGGAUGCUAUUGGCAUCUGGCGAGUGAGGCCAAGGAUGCUGCUAAACCUCCCAUGAUGCACAGGAGAAGUCCCCACACAGACACAUCCUGCGCAGACUGUCCAUAAAGCUUAAAUGAGAUGCUCUGACUUAGAGCCACAGUGAACAUUCCAUUCCAUCGUCUGGGUAUCUCCAGGGAUGUACGUAGCUGGAUGUCUAGCUUUUCAUCUGGGUAUGACCGGCCUCACGCAGAAUCAAAACCAUGUGUAGGUCGAAUCUCUUAUUUGCUCUCCUGCUUCCUUUCAUUGUAAUAUUCUCCUUCUCAUUAGUAUUUUCUGUUAUUGGAGGAAUGGUAAGAAAACAUAAAAUGCUGGAGAGUUACGAUUUUGUUUCUGUCAAUAAAAAAGUAAUUUGCCAGUGACUCAUAAAAAGCAGAAAA
ensembl:lncRNA LINC01522 long intergenic non-protein coding RNA 1522